GACGAACGCUGGCGGCGUGCCUAAUACAUGCAAGUCGAACGCAGUGGGGACGGGUGAGUAACACGUUGGUAACCUCCCAUCAGAGGGGAUAACACUUGGAAACAGGUGCUAAACCGAUACUGAUGGAUGGACCCGCGGUGCAUUAGCUAGUUGGUGAGGUAACGGCUCACCAAGGCCACGAUGCAUAGCCGACCUGAGAGGGUGAUCGGGAACACUGGGACUGAGACACGGCCCAGACUCCUACGGGAGGCAGCAGUAGGGAAUAGUGGGAAAUGGACGAAAGUCUGAGCGAGCAACGCGGCGUGAGUGAAGAAGGAUUUCGGAUCGUAAAACGCUGUUGUUAGAGAAGCGAUAUCGAAACAGAAAGCAACGGCUAACUACGUGCCAGCCGCCGCGGUAAUAC
rnacentral:rRNA from 1 species